rnacentral:rRNA from 1 species
UACGAAGGGGGCUAGCGUUGCUCGGAAUUACUGGGCGUAAAGGGCGCGUAGGCGGCGGUGUUAGUCAGGCGUGAAAUCCCCAGGCUCAACCUGGGAACUGCGUCUGAUACUGGAUGGCUUGAAUCCGGGAGAGGGAUGCAGAAUUCCAGGUGUAGCGGUGAAAUGCGUAGAUAUCUGGAGGAAUACCGGUGGCGAAGGCGGCAUCCUGGACCGGCAUUGACGCUGAGGAGCGAAAGCUAGGGGAGCAAACGGG